UAGCUUUGAAUAAUAGAGAUUGCUACCUUCUUAACAUUCUAUGUGUGUACUUCACACUACUCUCAUAAUUAUAUCUACAACUAUCUCUUACAAUUCUAAUCACUCUAAACUUUAUCUGAGUGGUCUGUUGUUACAUACAUCUACAAUAAAGCACACAACAUUAGUUAAAACACACAACAUUAGUUAAAACAUGCAAGAUAGUCUCAACACACACAAGAUCUCUUGAAAAUCAAUCUGAAUCCUCUACUGCCUCUGAUGAUCACAAUGCAUGUUUGCAACAGUUGAACAAUCAAAUUCAUGAACAAAAGCAGUAAUUAGCUAUUCUGCAUGCACAACAGCAGCUCAACAAGUUGGAAGUGCAGAUUCAUGGAGAUACUCUCAUUGAAUCUCAAUUAACUCAGAAUACCACCACAGAACUGCUGCAAAAUUGAUCUGUGAAUGAUACAGAUGAUGAUAAUGAAACACCAUCAAGAUUGAAGAUUAAGAACUAUUAUCAAGGAAAAAAUAUAUUAGAAUUCAAGAACUAUAAAGAUCACAUAUUGAUCCUCUUUACACAUCAUCACUGAUAUUAUUGAAAGGAAGAACACAAGAUAAAUGAUGCUAAACUCUACCUUGACACCCACAUUAAGCAGAAGUGGUUGAAUUUUGUAUCAUUGUAUGAGAGACAUGGAGGAGCAACACUGUUGACUUUUGAUGAUAUGUUAUCACAUCUAGAAAUGCAAAUUAACAAUCCACAGAACCAGCAUCAAUUGACAAGCCAAAAGUUUCAAGAUGCAAAGCAACAAGAAUGGCAAUUGAUACAUGAUUUCUCUAAAUAUCUCAAAGACUGAAAAUACUACUUACCCUCAUAUAGCAAAGAACAAAGAAUGGAUAACUUGUGUAGUAAGGCAUUGAAGAUAUUACACACAGAACUUGACUGUCAAAAUCAAGAACCUCAGAACUACAAAGAGUUGCUUCAAACUCUACAGACUCUUGAGAAAAAUAUGUCAGAGCAAUGACAUGCUAUUUGCAAAGGAAGAUCUGUGAUAUUUGUAGGGAAUCAGCAUCAUUCUGAUAAAUCUAGCAACUGUCAGAACAAGAGGAAAUGAGAGGAACAAACAGAUUCAACUGAACAAAUCAAGAAAGAUAAAUAUAACUGAAUGAAGAAGUGUUCUCACUGUCAUAAGAAGGGUUAUAUUGCAAAUGAUUGUUGAAUGUUACAUCUCAAAAAGUGCAACCAAGUUCAACAAGCAAAAAAUCAACAAUUUCAAUUGUAGAAGCAGCUGCUGCAUUGGAAAUACAAACAACUAGACUGCAAGAUAAACAAUUAUUGAUGAUGAAUACAUGAAUACUGACAGAAGUGAGAUGGUCGAUGGUGUGGAUGCUAGUGAAUUCUGGUGUGGAUGCAAACUUUGUGUCCCACAUCUGAGCAUCAAAAUAUUUCUUGAAGACAGAAGGUAAACCAAAAGUAGUGGAAGCAGUUGAUAAUUAUAAGAUUAAAUUAUAUGGACAAUAAAGAGCUGCAAUGAAGAUUAUUGAUGAUGAACACAUUCUCUGAGAAGGAUUCCACCAUUUCAAAGAGGCUGAUAUUAGUGAAUAUGAUGUAAUUUUGAGCAUGCUGUGGUUGGAAGCUGUGAACUCUGAUAUUGACUGAGUGUGAAGAUGCUGAAUCUAUAGAAAAGUGUUGAAUAUUAAUCACAUGCAUCUGAAUACUGCUAAAGAAUUCACAACACUAAUUGAUGAUGGCAAUAUUAUAUUCACUGCCUUACCAUUAUGAGCUGUGAGUGCAGCAACUGAGCCAAAUAUCUCAGAUGAUUAUAAAGAUUAUCUUGAUGUAUUCUGAGAAGACAUAUCUGAUGUGGAACAUACAUCUCAUGAUCAUGCUAUAGAGCUCAAAUCUGGCAAGGAACCUCCAUACUGACUGAUAUAUAACUUAUCACCUCAAGAACUCUCUGUCCUUCAAGAAUAUAUUGAAAAGACAUUAGAGAAGAAUUGAAUACAUUCAUCCAAGAGCUCAGCUGGUGCAUCAGUGUUAUUCACACUGAAGAAAGAUGGAACUCUGUGUCUUUGCAUGGAUUAUCAAGAAUUGAAUGAAAUAACAGUCAAGAAUCAAUAUCCACUGCUCUUGAUAAGUGAAAUACUUGAUAGAUUAGCAGGUGCCAAAAUAUAUACACAACUGAACCUUAGAGACACAUAUCAUAGAAUUUGCAUACAAGC
rnacentral:sRNA from 1 species